rnacentral:rRNA from 1 species
UACGUAGGUGGCAAGCGUUGUCCGGAAUUAUUGGGCGUAAAGCGCGCGCAGGCGGUUCCUUAAGUCUGAUGUGAAAGCCCACGGCUCAACCGUGGAGGGUCAUUGGAAACUGGGGAACUUGAGUGCAGGAGAGAAGAGUGGAAUUCCACGUGUAGCGGUGAAAUGCGUAGAGAUGUGGAGGAACACCAGUGGCGAAGGCGGGUCUCUGGGCCGAUACUGACGCUGAGGAGCGAAAGCGUGGGGAGCGAACAGG